AGUGCCACAGGGCAGCAUCUUAGGACCUCUACUAUUUCUUAUAUAUACAGUAUAUCAAUGAUCUUCCUAAUGUCUCUAAUAUUCUUAAACCUAUAUUGUUUGCUGAUGAUACUACCCUUAUCUGUUCAGACCCCAACUCACAUACAGUAAAUAAUGUUGUGAAUAAUGAAUUAAAAAAAGUCCACUUAUGGAUGUCAACUAACAAACUAACAGUAAACAUAGAAAAGACCUGCUACAUCUUAUUUGGAAGCAAAUCAUCGAAUGCAAUUCAGCUACAGAUAGACAACACUAACAUCAGUAAUAAAAAUGAUGGCACUUGGAAUACUGUAGCCAUUCAUUUUUCUCAAGCAUGGAGACCUCAUCUUCAGAAGGAUAUAGCUGCUCUGGAGAAGGUGCAACACCGGGCAGCAAAAAUCAUUCCAGAGCUAAGUGAUCUCCCGUAUAGGAAUGGUUGAGGGCCACAGGGCUAACAACAGGCAUGGCCGAGGGAUCUUACUGAAACGUUUAAAAUGUUGACCACUUUGGAGGAAGUUUAUCCUGACAAUUUCUUGAAUGGGUUAGAUGUAACAAACAAGGUGUAACGGUUUAAAGCUCAACAAGCGGCCACUCAUGGAACCAACCACCCGCCGAAGCUGUAAAUGAAUUAUGACUUAAAUGAAAUGAAUUAAAUGACUUUAAUUUCCAAAUUCACCUAGAAAAGAUUAUCAAGGCAAAUGGGGGGAUCUUUGACAAGACGUCGGCUUCCUGUCCACGUCGAGGCCACUAGGCCACUCGAGCGUUUUGUCCUGGACCGGGGAGGAUUUACUGGGCCCAAAUCCUUAACUGUAGGCUCUAUUUAACUCAACAUACCUUUGUCUACAUCUCCAUUAAAGAUGGUGGAUGGAUGUAAUUAAAUACUCUGUUUACAUCAUGGUGGGUACUAUUUUAUUUAACAGUAUUAAAUGUCAAAACAUUCCAGCUAUUAAACAUACAGAAUUUAUGUAUUGUACACUUUUUCAUGUGUGGUCAGCGACUGUGUCCCUCCUGUAAGUACUGUAUCUUUGAAGUGUACUCUACAUAUUUUAUAUUUAAACAAAAUUAACUUUUUUGUUUUCACUAAAUCAGAGGAAACAAUGGGAUAAAAUGAAAUAUGAAAUUAACUUUACAGUAUGAGUGGUUUCAAUAUAACAUCAUUACGAACAUUUAGAUGUGGCAUGACCAGUCAGCAGUAAUGUUUAAAAGUCUGUUGUUUAAUUAUCAAAUUUUCCCUAUUUCUUAUCAUACAAAACAAAUAAUUCUGUAGUUACAUAUACAAAACUACUUACGAUUGCCUACUUGUCAUUAACAGAAAAAAAUUAAUUUUUUUUUUAAUACUGUAUUCACUGCUGAUUUUCUGAUCACCUUGCAAAUUUGUUUCAAAAAUAUUGUUGAAGUACUAGAUUUUUUUAUAACGAAAUAAAUCUUUUACUUGCCCAUUUUUAUAAGAAAAAACUGAUAGCGCACAAAGGUAAUAAUGUUGAAAUGUUUAUACUUUCGUAUAUUCAGCAAAACCAUACAAACCGUGAUGCAUAAACCAAUCCUAAAAAUGGACAAAAAUAGUCACAAAGAGCAAAAAGGUCAGAUUCUAGUGCAAAAUGCAUGCUCGUAGGAAAUUCUUUGAUGAAGUUGCUUAAAAGAAGCCAUAAAAAGUGCAUUUCUUCUUUCCUGAAAUACUGUACAGUAUUUCAAUGAUCAAAUGGACAAUAACAGGCCAAGCAACACAUUUUGGGGGUUACCAGUCCAGCUUUUAUUAUUUUAACCCAUGAAUUCCACACCGUGCCCUCUCCUCCUCCUUCAACAAGGCCUAUACAGUUGUACUGUCUUUGCACUUGCUCCUGAUAAUUACUUUUCUCUUUAAUAAUGUGGCCCACACAGAAUCUUCAACGUUAGUGCCAUAGGGGGUAUCACAUUUUAUGAUUUUUUGUAUAAAAAUUUAUUCUGUAAAUAAAUAGAUAAUACAAUGAAAUUCCACAAGAGUGGAUUAGGAAUCACCAAACACACUGUUAACCAAACAUUCUAUGCUUCACUAUGAUCCUAUUAAAACACACAACCUGCAGGUAUCCAGUUAUAUUGUUAAGAAAUCUAAAGCAAAGGAGCACAUAACUUUGAAAAAAAAAGAAUAGAA